rnacentral:tRNA from 2 species
GCCGGCGUAGCUCAGUGGUGGAGCGAUUGCUUCAUAAGCAAGAGGUCGUUGGUCCGAAUCCAACCGUCGGCA